GAGGCACGAAAAUCAUUUUGCCUCUUCUUUUAGGAUUGCCCAUAUAUACAAGGAGUCUGAAUGGACAUGAUAUUGUAAAGAAUAUGUUACACAAGCAUUUCCGGGUCCUUACAAGGAUGCCAUUUCCGACGUCACUCCAAAACCAAGAGAAUGUAAUUGUUGUAAGCGAUACAAAAUAACAAAACAAAGGAACAAGGCUGAUAUCAAUGCAACCUUGUCAGCUCUUCCACUCUCUU
rnacentral:misc_RNA from 1 species